rnacentral:lncRNA from 1 species
ACUUAAUAAAAUCAUCCACUACAUAAUCAUUCAUUAUCUUUAUAAUCAACCAUCUAAAGCUACCACAGUUCCUUCAAUCAAAGUAUAUAUCUACAUAUAUAGAGAGUACACUUCAUAAUUUCGUCCUUUGUCUUCCGUAAAUGUAACACAAAAAUUUGAUACCCAGUAUUAUAAGGCAGGUCGUAGAAGUAGUCUUCCUGCACAUAUUUAAAAAUAAUAACAGUCAGGAAAAUGAAGCAAAUAGGUCACCAGAGGCACUUAGUGCCAAAAUCAAUACACAAAGACAAUAGAGUUACUACGUGGUACUAAUAUAUACAGUAUUGCUCAUAAGCAGAAAAAGACAAUAGAAUUACUACGUGGUACUAAUGUACACUAUAAAUUAGGAUACUUGUGUAUAUAAGCCAAUUAAGAAUGAAUCAAGAAAUCAUUAUCCCAAAAUCGAGUUCUUAUUUUCUACAGAUUACAUGGACCAUCUUUAUUACAAGGUCAUUUGACUUGAUACUCCAUCCUCAAAAGCAUGUCCAGAAAUACACUAAGAUUUUAUCCUAAAAAAGAAGUCUAAAGUACACAAACUAAAUGUGAAAUAUGACAUGCAUAAUAAUUUAACCCAAAGUGAACAUAUCCCCGUAAGAACAUUCCACUCUCAAGUUAAUUACGUUAUUUGUGUGGGUCCAAAUAUUAUUAGAACAAUUUUUAUUCUCUCUCAUCUAAUUUGCCAACCUUAAAUUUGUCAUCCAAUUGUACUCUUAGACAUCCUUUUGAGGACACAGGUAGUAACCAACUGAUCUAAUCACACAUUGAGGCCCCAAUCUGACACAUUUAGUGCAAAUUCAUGGUUGAGUGUUGCACCAUAAAAAUCGCGUAUUAUGAACGUUGCACAUUGUCAAAGUCAUUCAUAAUGGUCUUUGAAUUUUGAUACAGAGCACAAAGCAUUGAUCCUUGUGUAAAAUCAAUUCAAAAUGACCUUAAGAAGCAUUGAUACAGCCAAUGGCAAUGUUCCCAAUCCUAAUUUUUUUUAACUCAUCAGCUUUUGCAACCGAUCUCGCACUAUGCCCACAUCAUAGGUUGGGCACUUAGUUUAAUAAUGGCACUUAAAGGUAAUCAUAGAGAAAGAAAACAAAGUACCUUCUUUUUUAUUUAAAUGGUAUUUGCUUUAUUAUUUUUUUAUGGGGAUUAAAACUACCUUUACAAUCAAACUUCGUACAGUACAUACCAAUUGGUAUGUCUCUCUUUUCAAUGUAAGAUGUAGUAUAUGAUAAGAACAGAAAUACAGUGUAUACCUAUUGGUAUGGCUCCUGCUGCCAUGUACUUUACAACACUAAUGUCAAAAUGCUCAUCUAUUAUGGAAUGGAUUCCUGCAACUGCACCACCUAAGAGUCUCACCAAAUCUCUGCGGUUCAAACGAAAAAAUAAAAUAAAGUAAAAAAAUAACUUCUCAAUGAAGGAAAACAUCUGAGAAAUUUAGUAACAGACUAUAACCCCAAAUCAAGUGAUAGAUAUGGCACAAGCCUCCAUAACUGCUCAUACAAAGGCAAACAUAAAAAUCACAACAAAUGACCGAGUCAAAAAAAGGAAUAUAAUAAAUAUAUACACACGCACACACAAAAACAAACACAAACAACAUAUAGAUUUCUCAAUUGACAAUAGCAAGCUUUCAAAUUUAAUUUUUGUUUCAUAAGUAAAGCUUUCAAAAUAGUUAGGGUCUUAAACCCUGUAGAUUUCCUCCAAUAUAGUACACAAUUCAGUUAUACUCAUCGUCCAAAUCAACCAACAAGGAUUUCAUAUCCUUGCAAUAUGUUCAAACUAAGAAUUCAAACAAUUAAAAAGUACUGCUAUAUUUGUUUAUGGCAUGUCAUAAAUUAUGAAUGCACUUUAUCAAAAAUUCAUACAAAAAUUUUAAAUUUCUACUUCAAUGAGACAGAGCCCCUAAACUUCUAUUUCAAAUCAGCUACCAAUUAAGUCAUAGUAAGGAGGAGGAAAUGCAUGUAGACUUUUAUGGCUAGUCUGAGAGAAAAAGUUCAUACCAUAAAUAGUUUACUAUGUGAUCAGAUUUAUAAAACCCUCCCCAAUUUUUUCAAUAAGCAAAUCUCUGGUCCAACUUGCAUGAAUACUCAAUACACCAUUGGCAAACAUUCAGGAAAACAAGAAGAAACCCCAAAUCCAAAAGACUUUAACUGAACAACCUCAAAUGAUACAUAAUUUAGCAUCAUACUGUAAUAAAAAUAAGAAAAAUAUUACACUAUCCGACAUACUAGCAUUGGAUCAUACCACCUUUUAUAAUCACUUUGUGCAUCUAGCAUGAAAGGGGAAUGUUUUAGCACCUUGGUAGUGCAAAGAGCUUAGCAAUUGAUCCAAUGCAAAAAAAAAAAUUAAAAACAAAAUAAAAAAAAUAGGUGCAUAUACUUGUUACAUAUACCAUGUCACAGUGUUGCCCCCUAUUUAAUAAGCAUCUGAAAGAUUCAAGUCUUGAUAAUCUUCAUGACAUUCAAAAAACAAAGGAAAGAAAACAAAAUGUAAUAAAAAGAAAAACAAACUUUGGUAUCAAAUAAUGUACCGAGUGCAACAAGACUCAGCUGAGCCAGCCUCAACUUGACUUAGGUAUCUUAAUUACAACAUAAAAGCAUGACAAACAAAAGAAUUAUUCCACCCCCAUAAAGCAAGAUUAUAAAAAUCACUCCUAAACAACCUCCUAUGAUUCCACAAUAUAUAAUACAUAUAUGUAGUGUACUGAUAAGUGAUGACCAACAAAAGACAUUCCACAGAAGUAAUGAACAUGUUGCAAUAAUAGAAUUCAUAAAUAAUUCAUUCAAUCUUUUACAUUUCUCUUUUCUUGGCAUGGAAAGCCAACAUUAAAUUUUAAUGUUACCGGCUACAUUAUUAAGAGAAGGAAAAAAAUUUGGUGCAUGAGUCGGUCCUCAUGAACCAGUUAAACUCUCUAGAUCAGAAGUCUAGCGCAAGAGAUUAAUUUACAGAGCAAAAAAGAUAUUGUCACUAUAGAAACUAAUCAAGACCACAUUUUGCUUCUGUUUUUCCCCUCGAAAAAGCUAAUUAAAAGGAUUGAGAAAGGGGAAAAGGUACCAUUGAAACAGUAGAAGCAUAUAGUAGUUCAGACAUUAGUUUUCAACAAAAUACAAAAUUAGAUUUAAAACAUUAAAGUUUUAAGGAAAAGGGGCAAACAAUCAAGAACAAAACUUCAUAUGUAAAAAUGUGGUUCUUGAAAAACACACACAAAAAGGAAGAUUAAAUAAAAAUAUAAAAUAUCUCACAAACAAAAUGAUUGAAGAAUUAAUCGAAUUACUGCAUACCAACAACAAAUUAAACAGAAAAAGACCAAACCCGUGAAAACAUAAAGGGAUUGAGAACAAACCCAAAAAUACAAUUGUAGUGAAUCUGUAGUUGCUUCGUUGAAGUCGCCAAACUUUCAACUUAGCUUCAACAUAUUCAUAGGGAUUGGAUUUGGAUGUCCAUGACUGAUUUGGAGAACUAAUAGAGGGUAGGUGAAUGAGUUGGAGAGAAAUUAGAGGGGAGACGACUGGUAGGGAGGCACAAGUGAGGGGAGGCGCCGCUGAGGGUAGGGACAAUUGAAGGAGAAAGGGUACGAUUGAGGGAGAUAGGGCACUACUGAGGCGCGAUUGAGCGAGAUAGGGCUCGAACGAAUGUAUUUUCUAAUCUGAGGACUGAGGGAGUAAAACUUUAGCGAGAGGGCGGGCUUGAAAAUUAUGGGAGGGAAUUUUUUG